AUAUCGAGUAAUCGUGUCGAGUCGUGAUUUUAGAAUCCCAGCCCUGCAGCCGGACUCCGUGUCGUAUGGAAUUCCACUGAUUGAUUCGAUUCCACAUGACCGGCACUCUAUGCGCAAAAAUAGUCGCCAGAACGCAACUCGUUUAAUCGCUUCAAGGCGAGAUGUCCGGACGUGUGGUUUUCAAUACAUUUGUUUACGUUUUAUUUGACAGCUGAUUUUUUUGCCUUUGUGAAGUUCAUGAAUUUUGUUUUUUUGGUGUUUAACAUUGAUUUAUCAUGUACUUAUUAUGAGGGUUCGUGCCGAACAUUGGCAGAUGUUGCUAGAACUCUGUGAGGCAAAUCCAGAGUUAAUAACAAACAAAUUUAAUGGCCCUGAUGGCAAAACAAAGGGGCAUGCUCUCUGGCAAAAUGUUGCCCAUAAAUUAAAUAGUCUUGGAUUUGGUGAAAAAACCAAGGAUGAAUGGAGAAGGGCAUUAACUGAUUGGAAGUGCAAAACCAAAGCAAAAGCAGCCAAAAUAAAACUAGAAAUUAAUAGAACAGGUGGUGGUGCUGCUAAUUAUAUUCCAUUAUCAGAAAUAGAAAACAGGUUGCUUGCCCUCAUGGGCUCCAAAGCUAUAGAGGGGGAUGUAAAUAUUGUGGAACUUGGCUUUGUUUUUUAGAGUUGUGUGGUUUGGUAUUUUGGAAAAGGUACUAUGGUGAAUCGUUGAUUGAAUUAUUACACUAAGUAUUUUAAAUGUAUUAUGAAACAAAUAUUUGUGGAAUUGAGGCUGACCAUUCAUUGGACCACCCUUACACUAAAAAAGGAAAAUUGCCUCUGGCUUCAAUGAAUAAUAUUUCUACAGCCACACCAAAAAGGAAAAUCACUGAGUCAACAGCUCACCCUGUAAAACGUAUAAGGCAUGUAGAAUUACAAAGGUUGUCAAAAAAUCUCCUUGCAAUAAAUGAAGAAGCAUUAAAAACUUUGCAAAAUAUUGACAACAACAUGGGUUCAAUAGCGGAGUCUCUGAGGGAUAUUAAAGAAAUUUUACAGAAAAAAUGACUGAAUCACUAAUAUACAUAUAUAAUAUGAAUAUUAUAAAAUAUAUUAUAUGUAUAUAUUUUAUUAUUUAUAUAAUGUAUUUAUAUUAUCUGUUUUUGAUUUGUGAAUUUGUUUAUUUUUUUAAUUUAAAUCAAAAUUUAGUUGACUGAGUUAAAGUUUCUUGUGUUAUACCUAUUUGUUAGAACUAAAAUUACUUAUAGGUAUGUCUAUUUAAUUAACUGAGUUAUGAAACGUCAAAUUUUGUGCUUAAGAUAAAAGUAAUUUUAGUAUGUUUACUAGGCUGUGAUAAAGCGCUGUUAAAUGUACGUAUUUGGUUAAAGGUUCCUAAUAAAGUAUAAUUUGUAGUAUUA